rnacentral:pre_miRNA from 1 species
CUCCUACUCUUUUCGUCUGAAAAUACUUGUCGAAGAAAUGGAUGUAUCUAGACGUAUUUUAGUUCUCGAUACAUCCAUUUCUAUUCAUUUUUGUGCAAGUAAUUUAGGAUGGAGGGAUUAUUUC